AGAGUUUGAUCAUGGCUCAGGACGAACGCUGGCGGCGUGCCUAACACAUGCAAGUCGAGCGGGGACAUUGCGACGGAGACGAAGUACUCGUACGGAGUCAAAGAUGUAAUGUUCUAGCGGCGGACGGGUGAGUAACGCGUGAGCAACCUGUCCCUUACAGGGGGAUAACACAGCGAAAGUUGUACUAAUACCGCAUGAGACCACAGGAUGACAUUAUUCAGGGGUCAAAGGAGCAAUUCGGUAAGGGGUGGGUUUGUGUCCGAUUAGAUAGUUGGUGAGGUAACGGCCCACCAAGUCGACGAUCGGUAGCCGACCUGAGAGGGUGAUUGGCCACAUUGGGACUGAGACACGGCCCAAACUCCUACGGGAGGCAGCAGUGGGGAAUAUUGGGCAAUGGGCGAAAGCCUGACCCAGCAACGCCGCGUGAGUGAAGAAGGCUUUCGGGUUGUAAAGCUCUGUUAUAGAGGACGAAGGAAGUGACGGUACUCUAUAAGGAAGCCCCGGCUAACUACGUGCCAGCAGCCGCGGUAAUACGUAGGGGGCGAGCGUUGUCCGGAAUGACUGGGCGUAAAGGGCGUGUAGGCGGCCGUUUAAGUAUGGAGUGAAAGUCCACUUUUCAAGGGUGGAAUUGCUUUGUAGACUGGAUGGCUUGAGUGCGGAAGAGGWARKKGGAAUUCCCAGUGUAGCGGUGAAAKGCGUAGAGAUUGGGAGGAACACCAGUGGCGRAGGCGACUUACUGGKCSGUAACUGACGYUGAGGCGSGAARGCGUGGGGAGCGAACAGGAUUAGAUACCCUGGUAGUCCACGCGGUAAACGAUGAAUGCUAGGUUUGCGGGUAUCGACCCCGCAGUGCCGGAGUAAACACAAUAAGCAUUCGCCUGGGGAGUACGGCGGCAAGGUGAAACUCAAAGAAUGGACGGGGGCCGCACAAGCAGCGGAGCAUGUGGUUUAAUUGGACGCAACGCGAAGAACCUUACCAGGUCUUGACAUCCAGUUAAAGCCAUAGAGAUAUGGUGUGUGCUUGCACAAACUGAUACAGGUGUGCAUGUGUCGUCAGCUCGUGUCGUCAGAUGUUGGUUAAAUCCGGCAACGAGCGCAACCCUUAUUUUCAGUUACUAACACAUAGAGGGGAGGACUCUAAUGAAACUGCCGGGACAACUCGGGGGAAGGUGGGGGACGACGUCAAAUCAUCAUGCCCCUUAUGACCUGGGGCUACAAACGUACUACAAUGGCAACCACAAAGAGAAACAAACUUGUGAGAGUAAACGAAUCUCAAAAAAGUCGUCCCAAUUCGGACUGUGGGCUGCAACCCGCCCACACAAAAUUGUAGUGGCUAGUAAUCUCGGAUCAAAAUGCCGCGGUGAAUACGUUCCCGGGCCUUGUACACACCUCCCGUCACGCCAUGGGAGUUGGGAGCACCCUAAGCCGGUGAGUUGACCGCAAGGGGACAGCCGUGGAAGGUGAGACCGAGGACUGGGGGGAAGUCGUAACAAGGUAACCGUA
rnacentral:rRNA from 1 species